UAAUUAUUUAGCGAAUACUAAACGAUUUUUACAAUUUCGAUAAUUAUAUCAUGAGGAUUUUAAUUGUCCAAUCAAUGCUUUGACUCAACCCUACCCUAUACUCCUACAAGCCACCCUAUGCCUACCCCUAAUUUGAGGCCAUGCCUGCAGAAUCAAAAUAUCGACCACAUCAAAAAUAUCUACCACAUAUCAAGUUACACUCCAGCCAAUUCACCAUUCUCAUGAAUUACACUCUCCUCAAUUAUUUUCCAUGCUUUCUCUAUCUGUCGAAAGAAGAAAUGAAAAAAACUCGAAGUGAUGGACUUUACCAUUUUGAUUCAAUAGACCCAGCAGCCAACCCAAAUCAAAACGACAGCCACGCUCAUCAUCCACCCAAGGCUUUGUGGACCAAGGGGAUUAGCACUGCUUUCCCAAGAUGAGUUUAUGUGAUUAUGAUCUUCAGGCUUUGCCUAUCCAGGUUGGCUGGCUGGUGAUGACGGGACUGAGCUGAGGCUAGAGUUAAAUUCCUAUGUUAGACUUCCGCUGUAGCAAUUACUCAUAUCAGUCUUUUGUUUUCCCAACUUAAGAUCUUCAUGUAAAAUUUCAAACGAUAUACUUGACCGAGCUUAGACUCUUCACUACUGAAUUUAUGCUAAUGAAUGUCGGUUGUCAGAAGCAUGAAACAAAACUUGUGAUCCAAAGGGGCAUUGCCCGAAUUUCAAAUCCUAUUUCGGUUAUAACAAGGUUUUCCCUUGUUUAUGUCUAUGAAU